AAGAUGGAGUGGGUGGGGGGAGGUUUCCAGGAACUGCUCCGAGCUCCGGGCUUCUCAAAACAUUACUUCAAGGCUACGGAGAUCGAUCCCUGCAAAGGCAACGAUCGACUCGUGGAGUCACGAGAAGAAAGGGGGAGGGAUCGACUCAGACUCAGACACGCAAAUCCCAGACGGCGCGAAGUUUUCUCUCGGGAGAGGAACCUGUGGUCCUCCAGAUAUCUUGGACUCCAGCUACUGGCUUCCCUGCUCACUGUCCAUCCUGGUAGUUGGAGUCAAAGGAGCAUGGGGCACUUCUAGUGAGUCAGACCACUGAGCUACAGCCUUUCCUUCAGAUUGAAUGAGAGUGAGAUUGUCCUUAAGGGCAUAGGAAGCAGCCUUAUGCCAAGUCAGACCAAGAUCCCAACCGUAGCUCUCUUAGGUUUCAGGGACAUCUGAAGAGACUGCAGAUUCAAUCUGGGACCUUCUGCAUGCAAGCAAAUGCUAUAGCCCAAGGCUACAGGCUUCCCUUCCCUGGCACAAAGGAAAGCUAUUUGCAACCUACUUAAAUCGGAACAUGGAAAAUCUACUCAUCCCUCAUGUGUGGUUUUUUUUAAUUACUUGAGAGUGAAAAAUACAGUUAAAGGCAGCAUGGAGGUUAUUAAAAAUAAUGGUAUAAAUAGACUAUUUUUUCACGAUCUCUCUAUCCAGUUCUAUUUUUUUUGAGAGGGAAGAGGUGCCAGAACUCACCAAGAACACCUCCCUUGUUCUCUUAUAAUAGCAAUGUCGCCCACCUGAGAGGUGCUGGAACUGAGUUCCAGUGAGUUCUGGCUGGGGAAAAUAUCCCUGUCUCUAUCAUUGCUCAAAAACCCUACAAGUGUAGCCCCCAAAAUGCCAACAUGGGGGGGGGGGAGUCAUAAAGUCAAA